ACUAAAUUAGUUAAUAAUAAUAUUAAUUUGUCAAGUUAAAGUUGAAUUAAUUC
rnacentral:tRNA from 1 species